rnacentral:rRNA from 1 species
ACGCUCGACACCUACGGGAUGCAGCAGGUGGGGAAUAUUGCACAAGUGGGGGAAACCCUGAUGCAGCGACGCCGCGUGGAGGAAGAAGGUCUUCGGAUUGUAAACUCCUGUUGUUAGGGGAAAAAGAGGAUGGUACCCAACAAGGAAGUGACGGCUAACUACGUGGCAGCAGCCGCGGUAAUCUGAGCGGGCUGGCAAGGC